UGUUGACCUCGGAACAGGUAGGAAUACCCGCUGAACUUAAGCAUAUCAAUAAGCGG
rnacentral:rRNA from 1 species